rnacentral:rRNA from 1 species
CGUGUAGGCGGGAAGGAAAGUCAGAUGUGAAAUCCCUGGGCUCAACCCAGGAACUGCAUUUGAAACUCCCUUUCUUGAGUACCGGAGAGGAAGGUGGAAUUCCUGGUGUAGAGGCGAAAUUCGUAGAUAUCAGGAGGAACACCGGUGGCGAAGGCGGCCUUCUGGACGGUAACUGACGCUGAGACGCGAAAGCGUGGGGAGCAAACA